AUUGAACGCUGGCGGCAUGCCUUACACAUGCAAGUCGAACGGCAGCGGGCCUUCGGGUGCCGGCGAGUGGCGAACGGGUGAGUAAUGCAUCGGAACGUGCCAUUGAGUGGGGGAUAACGUAGCGAAAGUUACGCUAAUACCGCAUAUUCUGUGAGCAGGAAAGCAGGGGACCGCAAGGCCUUGCGCUCUUUGAGCGGCCGAUGUCAGAUUAGCUAGUUGGUGAGGUAAAGGCUUACCAAGGCGACGAUCUGUAGCGGGUCUGAGAGGAUGAUCCGCCACACUGGAACCGAGACACGGUCCUGACUCCUACGGGAGGCAGCAGUGGGGAAUUUUGGACAAUGGGCGCAAGCCUGAUCCAGCCAUGCCGCGUGAGUGAAGAAGGCC
rnacentral:rRNA from 1 species